rnacentral:tRNA from 1 species
GAGGCAUAGCUCAGUUGGUAGAGCAAAUGACUUUUAAUCAUUGGGUCCAGGGUUCGAAUCCCUGUGCCUCC